rnacentral:rRNA from 1 species
ACGCGAAGAACCUUACCCAGNGCUUGACAUGCAGAAGACAGCCUUAGAAAUAAGGAAUCCCGCAAGGGCUUCUGCACAGGUGCUGCAUGGCUGUCGUCAGCUCGUGCCGUGAGGUGUCUGGUUAAGUCCAGCAACGAGCGCAACCCUUAUCAUUAGUUGCCAGCACGUAAAGGUGGGAACUCUAAUGAGACUGCCUGGGUUAACCAGGAGGAAGGUGAGGAUGACAUCAAGUCCGCAUGGCCCUUAUGUCUGGGGCUACACACGUGCUACAAUGGCCGGUACAGAAGGCAGCGAAGUCACAAGAUGGAGCAAAUCCCCAAAGCCGGCCCCAGUUCAGAUUGUAAUCUGCAACUCGACUACAUGAAGAUGGAAUUGCUAGUAAUGGCAAGUCAGCAUAUUGCCGUGAAUACGUUCCCGGGUCUUGUACACACCG